UGCCGCCCUGAAGGGCGUAUGGUGGAUGCCUUGGCAGACAGUACCGAUGAAGGACGUUUGAGGAUGCGAUAAGCCUCGGGGAGCCUCCAACAUGGCUUCGAUCCGAGGAUUUCCGAAUGGGGCAACCCGCCGGCCGUCAUGGGCCGGCACGGAACCUUGUUGUUCCGGGGGUACGCAGGGAAGUGAAACAUCUCAGUACCUGCAGGAAGGGAUACUCCGUGAGUAGUGGCGAGCGAAAGCGGAUCAGACCAAACCAUGGGCGCGUGAUACCCGUCGGGGGUUGCGUUCGUGGUGUUGCGGGAGCGUGUGUCCCGGUUCCGACGGACCGGGCGGGAGUCAUAAAACGGCUUGCCAGGGGAACAGGCUUGAAGGCCUGGCCGCAGAGGGUGCCAGCCCCGUACCUGGAAGCUUGCCGUCUUCCGAUCAUGUGUCCCAAGUAGCGCGGGCCUCGUGGAAUCCCGUGUGAAUCGGCCCCGACCGUGGGGUAAGUCUAAGCAUACCUGUCUGACCGAUAGCGUACCAGUACCGUGAGGGAAAGGUGAAAAGCACCCCGGGAGGGGAGUGAAAGAGUUCCUGAAACCGUGCGCCUACAAUCCGUCGGAGCCUCCUUGUGGGGUGACGGCGUGCCUAUCGAAAAAUGAGUCUGCGAGUCAGUGGUGCGUGGCGAGGCUAACCCGUGGUGGGGGAGCCGUAGCGAAGGCGAGUCUCAAAAGGCGUUUUGAGUCGCGCGCCCUGGACCCGAAGCGGGAUGAUCUAGCCCUGGGCAGGUUGAAGCGCGGGUAAGACCGCGUGGAGGACCGAACCCACCUGGGUUGAAAACCGGGGGGAUGACCUGGGGCUAGGGGUGAAAGGCCAAUCAAAUUCCGUGAUAGCUGGUUCUCUCCGAAAUGCAUUUAGGUGCAGCGUCGGUUGAUUGCAUCGCGGGGGUAGAGCUACUGGAUGCUUGCGGGCCCGUGUCGGGUACCAAUAGCAGCCAAACUCCGAAUACCGUGGAUGUGUAUUCCGGCAGUGAGUCGGCGGGGGAUAAGCUCCGUCGUCGAGAGGGAGACAGCCCAGAUCGUCGUCUAAGGUCCCGAAGCGUGUGCUAAGUGGGAAAGGAUGUGGAGUCGCAUAGACAGCCAGGAGGUUGGCUCAGAAGCAGCCAUCCUUGAAAGAGUGCGUAACAGCUCACUGGUCUAGUGGUUCCGCGCCGACAAUGUAGCGGGGCUCAAGCACACCACCGAAGACGCGGCAGCGGCCUUUGUGGCCGUUGGGUAGGAGAGCGUCCCGCGUGGGGCGAAGCGGCCGGGGAACCGUGCCGUGGACCGCGCGGGAGUGAGAAUGCAGACAUGAGUAGCGAGAGACGGGUGAGGAUCCCGUCCGCUGGAUGACCAAGGGUUCCGGGGCCACGUUCGUCGUCCCCGGGUGAGUCGGGUCCUAAGGCGAGGCCGACAGGCGUAGUCGAAUGGAUGAACGGGUGGAUAUUCCCGUACCGGCGGCGUACCGUAAGAGCCGAACGGAUGAGUACUAACCUCCGGUCGCGUGGCGUCGUUCCCUUCGGGGUUCGGGGUCCGCGGUCGUUGGGAGCGUAGUCCCGGUAGGCUAGCGCACAGGGGUGACACGGAAUGGGAGCCGGCCGCGGAGGUGGUUUUCCGUGGUCAAGCACGCAGCCCGUCCCAUAGGCAAAUCCGUGGGACGCAUAGGGUGAGGUGUGAUGAUGGGCGUCCUUUGGACGCGAUAUCCGGUGGUCCAGGCCGUCGAGAAAAGCCUCGGCGCGAGGGGCGUCGCCGCCCGUACCCCAAACCGACACUGGUGGUCAGGUAGAGAAUACCAAGGCGAUCGAGCGAAUCCUGGUCAAGGAACUCGGCAAAUCACUCCCGUGCCUUCGGUAUAAGGGAGACCCCCGGGCGUGAAGAGGCUUGCCCUCGGAGCGUUGGGGGGUGGCACAGACCAGGGGGUAGCGACUGUUUACCAAAAACACAGGUGCAUGCGAAGGCGCAAGCCGCUGUAUAUGCACUGACGCCUGCCCGGUGCCGGAAGGUUAAGAGGAUCCGUCAGCCCCUUUUGGGGUGAAGCGGUGAAUUCAAGCCCCGGUAAACGGCGGUGGUAACUAUAACCAUCCUAAGGUAGCGAAAUUCCUUGUCGGGUAAGUUCCGACCUGCACGAAUGGCGUA
rnacentral:rRNA from 1 species